ACCAGUCCCGUUGUUGACAACCCUACCGGACCCACUGGCCCCAUCGUUGAGAGCACCACCGGGACCAGCCCUACUGGUACCACCGGAACCGGAACCAGUGCUACUGGUUCCACCGGACCCAUCGUUGACGGCACCACCGGAACCGGAACCGGCCCCAGAGGUUCCACCGGACCCAUCAUAGACAGCACCACCGGAACCAGCCCUACUGGUAUCACCGGAACCGGAACCAGUACUGCUGGUAUCACUGGACUCAUUGACGGCACCACCGGAACCAGCCCCACCGCACCCAUCAUUGACGGCACCACCGGCACCAACCCUACUGGUACCACUGCAACUGGAACCAGCCCUACUGGUACCACCGGACCCAUCAUUGACGGCAUCACCGGAACUGGACCCAUCAUUGACGGCACCACCGGAACCAGCCCCACCGGUACCACCGGUCCCAUCAUUGACAACCCUACUGGAGUCAGUCCCACCGGUACCACCAGCCCCACCAUUGACAACCCCACCGGAACCAGCCCCAGAGGUUCCACUGGACCCACCAUUGACGGCACCAUCGGAACCAAGCC
rnacentral:lncRNA from 1 species